rnacentral:rRNA from 1 species
AGUGAACGCUGGCGGUAGGCCUAACACAUGCAAGUCGAACGGCAGCACAGUAAGAGCUUGCUCUUACGGGUGGCGAGUGGCGGACGGGUGAGGAAUACAUCGGAAUCUACUUUUUCGUGGGGGAUAACGUAGGGAAACUUACGCUAAUACCGCAUACGACCUACGGGUGAAAGCAGGGGAUCUUCGGACCUUGCGCGAUUGAAUGAGCCGAUGUCGGAUUAGCUAGUUGGCGGGGUAAAGGCCCACCAAGGCGACGAUCCGUAGCUGGUCUGAGAGGAUGAUCAGCCACACUGGAACUGAGACACGGUCCAGACUCCUACGGGAGGCAGCAGUGGGGAAUAUUGGACAAAGGGCGCAAGCCUGAUCCAGCCAUACCGCGUGGGUGAAGAAGGCCUUCGGGUUGUAAAGCCCUUUUGUUGGGAAAGAAAAUCAGCAGGUUAAUACCCCGCUGUUCUGACGGUACCCAAAGAAUAAGCCCCGGCUAACUUCGUG